CCCCGGGCAAAUGGGGAUAAUCCCAGGUAGGCGGGGAUUCUGGAAAGUCCCUCGCCAAAACGUUCAGACGCCUAAGGAUGAGACUGCGGCCUAUUAGGUUGUUGGUGAGGUAAAGGCUCACCAAGCCACAGAUGGGUACGGGCCCUGAGAGGGGGAGCCCGGAGAUGGGGACUGAGACAAGGCCCCAGGCCCUACGGGGCGCAGCAGGUGCGAAAAUUCUGCAAUGUGUGAAAGCGCGACAGAGUGACUCCCAGUGCCGAUGGUCUAGCGACCGUCGGCUUUUCUGGAACGUAAAAAGUUUCAGGUAAUAAGGGCCGGGUAAGACUGGUGCCAGCCGCCGCGGUAACACCAGCGGCCCUAGUGGUAGCCGAUUUUAUUGGGCCUAAAGCGUCCGUAGCCGGAUUGGCAAGUCCCUUGUGAAAUCGGGCGGCUUAACCGCUCGAAUUGCAAGGGAAACUGUUAGUCUUGGGACUGGUAGGCGCCUAGGGUACUCCAGGGGUAGCGGUGAAAUGCUAUAAUCCCUGGGGGACCGCCAGUGGCGAAAGCGCUCGGCGAUGCCGGAUCCGACGGUGAGGGACGAAAGCCAGGGGAGCAAACCGGAUUAGAUGCCCGGGUAGUCCUGGCCGCAAAGGAUGUGGGCUAGGUGCUUGGCGUUCCUCGAGAACGUCGGGUGCCGAAGGGAAGCCGUUAAGCCCACCGCCUGGGAAGUACGGCCGCCAGGCUGAAACUUAAAGAAAAUUGGCGGGGGAGCACCACAAGGGGGUGGAGCCUGCCGGUUUAAUUGGAAUUCACCGCCCGGACAUCUCACCGGGGGGCCAAGGGCAAAAUUAAAGGCCAAGCCUGACGAAUUUGGCCGGACUCGCCCG
rnacentral:rRNA from 1 species